GGACGAACGCUGGCGGCGUGCUUAACACAUGCAAGUCGAACGGAAAGGCCCUGCUUUUGUGGGGUGCUCGAGUGGCGAACGGGUGAGUAACACGUGAGUAACCUGCCCUUGACUUUGGGAUAACUUCAGGAAACUGGGGCUAAUACCGGAUAGGAGCUCCUGCUGCCUGGGGGGGGUUGGAAAGUUUCGGCGGUUGGGGAUGGACUCGCGGCUUAUCAGCUUGUUGGUGGGGUAGUGGCUUACCAAGGCUUUGACGGGUAGCCGGCCUGAGAGGGUGACCGGCCACAUUGGGACUGAGAGACGGCCCAGACUCCUACGGGAGGCAGCAGUGGGGAAUAUGACACAAUGAGCGGGAGCCUGAUGCAGCAACGCCGCGAGCGGAAUGACGGCCUUCGGGGUAUAAACCGCUUUCGCCUGUGACGAAGCGUGAGUGACGGUAAUGGGUAAAGAAGCACCGGCUAACUACGUG
rnacentral:rRNA from 1 species